rnacentral:rRNA from 1 species
GAUGAACGCUCGCUACAGGCUUAACACAUGCAAGUCGAGGGGAAACGCCAUCGAAAGCUUGCUUUUGAUGGGCGUCGACCGGCGCACGGGUGGGUAACGCGUAUCCCACCUGCUCAUCACUUGGGAAUAACCUUGCGAAUGUAAGACUAAUACCCAAUGACAUCCCACGAAGACAUCUGAAUGGGAUUAAAGAUUUGUCGGUGCUGGCUGGGGAUGGGUCUGAUUAGCUUGUUGGCGGGGUACCUGCCCACCAAGGAAACGAUCAGUAGGGGUUCUGAGGGGAAGGUCCCCCACAAUGGAACUGAGACACGUGCCAAACUCCUACGGGAGGCAGCCGUGCGGAAUAUUGGAGUAGGGACGAGAGCCUAAUCCAGCCAAGUAGCGUGCAGGAUGACGGCCCUAUGGGUUGUAAACUGCUGUUAUAAGGGAAUAAAGUGGGUCUCGUGAGACUUUUUGCAUGUACCUUAUGAAUAAGCACCGGCUAAUUCCGUG